GCAAGUCGAGCGCGAAAGUACUUCGGUAUGAGUAGAGCGGCGGACGGGUGAGUAACGCGUAGGAAUCUACCUGGUAGUGGGGGACAACUCGAGGAAACUCGAGCUAAUACCGCAUACGCCCUAAGGGGGAAAGUGGGGGAUCUUCGGACCUCGCGCUAUCGGAUGAGCCUGCGUAGGAUUAGCUAGUUGGUGAGGUAAAGGCUCACCAAGGCGACGAUCCUUAGCUGGUCUGAGAGGAUGAUC
rnacentral:rRNA from 1 species